rnacentral:lncRNA from 1 species
GUUCGGGGUUCUUCUGUGUUGAAGUCUUCUGUCUCUUUCUUCCCAGCCGGCACAUGACCGACCUUCAACGUUGAAAUAUGGUUGAAAUAAGGUCAGUUGUGGUUUCAACGUUGAAACAACGUUGAUUCAACGUUUAAAGCUGAAUGGUUGAAAAACAUCCAGCACAUGACCAACUUUCAAUGUUGAAAUAUGGUUGAAAUAAGGUCAGUUGUGGUUUCAACGUUGAAACAACGUUGAUUCAACGUUUAAAGAUGAACUGUUGAAAAACUUCCAGCACAUGACCAACUUUCAACAUUGAAAUAUGGUUGAAAUAAGGUCAGUUGUUUUAAUGAAACAACGUUAAAAAUGUUUAAUGCUAAAUGGUAGAAAAAGGUUAACAAGCUUUUAAAUUAUUUAUAUUAAAUUAUUUAAAUUAAUUAUUAUUUUAAUAGCAUUUAAAAAUAUUUUAGUCAUGAUACCUAUUCUAAAAUCUAAAGGUAUAUGUUAAAUAUUAUCAUCAUUAACAACAAUAAAACUAUACAUUCCGCUGCUUUAUCACACUGAAGCAACUCCCAUUGGUAGUUUUAUUUUAUUACUUCUAUCGUGAUUGGUUAAUCUGGCUGUCAUUCAGGAAACUGGACAAUGAAUCGGUUCGCGCUUUUCUACAUUUAAAAAUAUGACCAUUGUUGUCGUCUUUCUGUGAGUGAGGCGGCUAACUGCUGCUCGUUAUAACUGACAGCUCGGUCGGUCCCGAAUUAUUUCAUAUUUGCCUGUACAUUUUUUAUUUAUUUUGAGCGAAUUUGAGUCGUGACCUGUCAAUGGAGAACAAAAACUGUGAACACAAGAAAGGUCAGGUGUUCUGCGAGGUCCUGAAAACAUCCUGUCAAAAUGAGAGUCAUCGAGGAUCCAGCUUGUUCUUGAAACAUUGGUAAGAAAUUGUUCUUCUGCUACAUUGCACUGUCACUUCUGCUAGAGAUGCUUUGACCUUUUGUGAUAGGUUUUGAUUGUGCUUAGUUUAAUAAAAAUGUACUGAAUUUGAUUUGACUUGUUUUACUACACUGUAAUGUUAGUGUUCUGAUUAAAACAGUGUAACUGGGGGCUCUGAAAACACUGCUUGUGAAUAAUUUGUUAAUAUUGUACAUUUUCAUCUGAAUACAUUAAAUAAGUGUUUAAUGAAUAGUGUUGUCCACUUUGUUUCCAACCACACUGUUACUGAACUGUAAAGUGAAAAUAUUGUGUGAUUUAUUUUGCAUUCAGUUUUCAGUUAAAUAUAUUUCACAAUAUCAAAGUUAUUGUCAAACAUUGUGAACAUACCU